rnacentral:rRNA from 1 species
AUUGAACGCUGGCGGCAGGCCUAACACAUGCAAGUCGAACGGCAGCACAGAAGAGCUUGCUCUUUGGGUGGCGAGUGGCGGACGGGUGAGUAACACGUAGGAAUCUACCCAGUAGUGGGGGAUAACCUGGGGAAACCCAGGCUAAUACCGCAUACGCCCUGAGGGGGAAAGCGGGGGAUCUUCGGACCUCGCGCUAUUGGAUGAGCCUGCGUCGGAUUAGCUAGUUGGUGGGGUAAGGGCUCACCAAGGCGACGAUCCUUAGCUGGUCUGAGAGGAUGAUCAGCCACACUGGGACUGAGACACGGCCCAGACUCCUACGGGAGGCAGCAGUGGGGAAUAUUGGACAAUGGGCGAAAGCCUGAUCCAGCAAUGCCGCGUGAGUGAUGAAGGCCUUAGGGUUGUAAAGCUCUUUUGUCCGGAAAGAAAGCAAUCGGUUAAUACCCGGUUGUUCUGACGGUACCGGAAGAAUAAGCACCGGCUAACUUCGUGCCAGCAGCCGA